rnacentral:rRNA from 1 species
CCCACGGGGAUGCCUUAAUUAACGGCGGAGGUGAAGCGGCAAAAGCUCAAAUUUGAAAUCUGGCACCUUCGGUGUCCGAGUUGUAAUUUGAAGAAGCUACUUUGGGGCUAGUCCUUGUCUAUGUUCCUUGGAACAGGACGUCAUGGAGGGUGAGAAUCCCGUAUGGCGAGGAGUCUAGUCCUAUGUAAAGUGCUUUCGACGAGUCGAGUUGUUUGGGAAUGCAGCUCUAAGUGGGUGGUAAAUUCCAUCUAAAGCUAAAUAUUGGCGAGAGACCGAUAGCGAACAAGUACAGUGAUGGAAAGAUGAAAAGAACUUUGAAAAGAGAGUGAAAAAGUACGUGAAAUUGUUGAAAGGGAAGGGCAUUUGAUCAGACAUGGUGUUUUGCGACCCUCGCUCCUUGUGGGUGGGGAUCUCGCAGCUCACUGGGCCAACAUCAGUUUUGGCGGUAGGAUAAAUCUUUGGGAACGUGGCUUGUCUUCGGAGAAGCGUUAUAGCCCAGGGGAAUACUGCCAGCCGGGACUGAGGACUGCGACUUUUGUCAAGGAUGUUGGCAUAAUGGUUAAAUGCCGCCCGUCUUGAAACACGAACCAAA